UUUGCCUUAUCCUCCCUGAAAAGAUCCCAUAUAGCACUUUGAGUACAACAAGAGGACAGAAAGCAAGGAUGUCUCAAGAAACUGGAACUGAUUUGGUCAGCACCUGCUGCAGAUAAAAGCAGCAUCAAGGAUUGAAUGAAGCAUUUAAAAAAACAAAACCCACUCAGAUUCCACAUCUGGGCAAAAGUCACAACCCGAUUGUAUUGGGAAGGGUUUUCUCCAAUCGCAUCCCGUAAGCAAACCGCACUUGCGGUGUAAUCCAGUGAGCUGUUUCAAAACUGUGAUUAAGAAGGGCUUUGCCAGCACUGCCCAACCCACUGUGGGUGUGUUAGUUUAUCACUGCCUCCAGAUAGAGUCUCAGGUCUGCAUGUCACAGCUUUUGGAGAUGGAAAAGAUGGAGAACAGGUCGUGUCCUGCUGAGAAGAGAGAGACAGAUCCACUCAUGGGUUCCCAGGAAACCCAAGUGCAACAAAAUGGGGACACUCCCGUGACCAUCUCUCCAAAGGAUGGAGAGAGCAGCAAAACUGACCCUACAGGUUUGCUGUCUGGGUUCAGAUUAUGCACACGUCGCUGGGCAGUUCCGAGUGUGGGUCUCAAUCUCGUACUGAUCAUCACCAUUAUCAUCCUCAUCAUCGUCCUCAUCGCCAUGUCAGCAAAGGAACCUGAGUCGUGUUCAGCUGGUGCUGCCUCCGCAGUGGCUGCCUGCCCAGACGGCUGGAUCGGGUACCUGGGGAAGUGUUACUAUUUCUCACAGGCUGAAGGGAACUGGACCUACAGCCAGAGCCACUGCUCUGCCCUCGGUGCCUCUCUGGCUGGGAUUGACACCCAGCAGGAAAUGGAGUUCAUGAAGCGCUAUAAAGGACUUGAGGACCACUGGAUCGGCCUCCAGAAGAGCCCUGGCCAGCGCUGGAAAUGGUCCAACGGCACCGAGUUCAGCAACUGGUUUCGCAUAAGAGGCAGUGGAAAUUGUGCUUAUAUGAACAGCUACAGGAUUGCCAGUUCAAGCUGCUCCAGACAGUUGCCCUGGAUCUGCCGCAAACCAGUGGAAUAGGUAGAAGGCAAUUCAAAGCUAAUGUCAUAUGGCCUGCCCCUGCCCAUCAUUUAAAGUGACAGGUGCUGGAGUCACCGCUGGAUAGCGCCUCCUCCUGGCCGUCCUGGGGCUUAGCUCUGUGUGGCCAAUGUCUCUGCCGGCCCAGCAAGCUUCGAUCGAACUGCCCAGAAAGGCCACAGACUCGGCUCAGUGGCGAAGGCACUGUGCCAGGUUUAUUCCGACAAAGCAUGGUGCCAGCGCCCCACAGACACUAAAAGAACACUACUACAGGUGGGCCCAGGACUUUCCACUCUCCCCUUGGCCAGACAAAGACCCCCCUCCUAUCGCUUCUCUUUUAUGCACUGAUGCAAACAAGGUACGUGUCACCUCCCUGAUGUGGCUAGCUACCACCCUGCACUUUGUACCUGUGGGUUUGAACAAAACAUUUCUAUCCAUCAUCCCGUUCUUCUGUCUGUCUUUCCUCCGGAUCGGCGUGUUCCAGUACCAGCCCCCAGGAAUGUGUUUACAUGAAUAUCCAAUGGGUUGGCUACAAGUCCAUACACGGACACAGGUGUCCAUGGCAAAAAUUUUGAGGCCCAUCGGCCACGAAGCUCAACAUUUUUACCAUGGGGCCUGCUCACCUGGGGGGAGGGGCUCCCUUGCCUCCCUGCAAGCGGCAUCCCACCCCCAUGUGUCCCUGCUGUGCAGCACAGUCUUGGCAGCUCUGCAUGCUGUCUCCAUCCCCAUCUCCUGCCAGCCCAUUGGCCGUGAGGCUCUCAGCCUGUUAGCCACUGCGGCCAAUGGGAGCUGCGGAGGGUGGUGCCUGAGGCAGCAUGCCUGCUUGCAGACCUGCCUGGCCCUGCCUCCACAGCAUGAGAGGGGAGGGGGGUUGUCACAGGUGAGCAAGCCCCAGUCAUCACCAUCACAGACGUAGCAAUUCUCUAUUUGGGUAUUUAAUUUCACCAAGGCAAGUAAUUCAAUCUACUCUUCCUUUCCAGACAGUGUGUAGCUUUUCCUGUGAGAAAACUUUGUAAAUUUCUUUGCAAAGGAAUCCAGUUAUUGUCUUUCACUUGAAGUAUAUUUUCUGGUUGUUCAUAAGCUCAUUUGUUUAACUCAGUUUCCUUGACCUCUGUCCGCUCCCUCUACCAGCCCCUUUAGCCUCCCUAGAAUUUCACCUACCAUUACUCCCUCUGCAUCUUUUCUCUGGAGCUUCUCAUAAAGUAAGAACCUGUAAUGACAGACUUUAUUUCUGUAAUGUAUUUAAUUUUGAUGUAUUUAUUAAGUGUUAAUUAAUGCACUAUGGGAGGCCGCUUCAGGCCUCUGUAUAAAUUGAUCCCCUUUUUUCCAUAUGUUUUGCCCAUAGGGUUUUCUGCAGUCUUAGGGCAGCCAGCAAUAACCCCUGUGCCUUUGCAAUGGGGUGAAGGAAAGGGACCAGGGGUUCCCUAUUUAUGUGAUUUGCAAGAAGUGUUAUCAUUACUCAGGGUACCAAAUGUGUUUAAAUGAUAUGAGUGCCUUGUAAAAUCCCAAAGCAAGCUCAUUUUCAUUUCUCAUGUAAUAAUCUCAUAUACAGUAUAUGUAACACUGACAGACCCUGGUCAUCAGCGGCCAGAAUUGAACCUGGGACUUCUGAGGCUUAGUGCAUGAGACUCUACCACAUGAACUAAAAGCCAACUGACUGUUAGCUAAGGCUGUAGAGCAGACUUGUUGUUCUCUCUGUAAGUGGUCUUGGUGCCACCAGAUGGGAUAAUACACCACACCCACAAGAUAUGUGGGUUACACCUACACACUUUUCUUUAAUUAUUAAUUGAAUGUAUUAUUAUUUGUAUUGUUGUUAUUAGCUAGAUAUGUGACAGGGUUUUUUCAGUGUGGAAAGUUUUAUAUAUGCUAUUUUAUGGGUUGAAUGACUGAAUGACAUAAUACCCACCCCCCAAUGUCCCUCACUAAGUCUGGCGAUUUUGUCAAGUGUCCAUCGCACCCUAUUCCUGUGCCUGUGCAAUGCCAGACAUGUUUUUGCCAAAUCCAUGUACCAGAGAGUGAAUUUGUAAGCAAGCGUCUGCUUUGUAACUGGGCCUGACUUUUGUUCAUAGCUUGUGUACUAUAUGCUCUGUAGGGUUGUGUGGAUAUUGUAAAGAUGUUACGUGUGUGUAUACCUAGGAUUAACUCAGGAAACAGAUCCAGGAAGAUGGACAGUAGGCCAGAUAAGAAACAUGCAGGGCUAUUAACUAAAGAUAUGACUACACUGCAGCUGGAAGAGUGCUUCCCAGCCCAGGCAGACAAUAUAUAUAGAGAGAGCCUAUUUAAAAACACCAAAAAUACCACGAGUAGUGAAGAUCUAAUGCAGUAUAAAAGAUAUACAGCAAUAGCACGAAGAAUUUUUUUUUUUUAAUCAAAGAAACUUGGAGGAAGUUGGCAGAUAAAUAAAGAUACCAAGCUAUCAGAAAUAUACAAACUGGAAGAAUGAAUGAGAUUCAGAGUAAGAAAAAGGAAGAGUCCUCUGGCACCUUAAAGUAAGAGCAGUCACAUUCCAGGUCUUCUUAGACUGACAACAUAGUUAGAAGCUGUAAUGAGACUUCCGAUUUCUUAUUAUCAGAAAUUUUCCAAAGCAUGAGCAAUGAUGAAAAUCAAAGUGCAGUUUCCCACCGCAUUAAAAGACAGUUACUUGAAUAGAGUCCUGAACUACUAGUUUCAUGGUUUAUCCCAACUCCAUAUGAUCCUUAAUGAAUGGUUUUUAUAUGUGGGAACCUGAGAAAACUGUUGAUAUCAAUAAGAAUACGUCUUCACAUAAUAUAUGUAAUAAUGUUUAAGUAUCACUCUGAAAGCUGGUUGAGGAUUCUCUUGGAACUAUAUAUUAUAUCGGAAAAAGAAGUGAAACUGGUAGGGUGGAAACAUGCAGUAAUAAUUCCAGUACAAAAACGAGGCAAACUGGCCAAAACAGUGGAUGCCUAUAGACCAAAUGCUCUGACAUCCUGUGUGGGUAAAAUUAUGGAGAGAAUGGUGAAUGACAUUGAUUGGAAAACAAUAGCAUUACAGAUCAGGUGCAGAAUGGCUUUAGGAAAAGAAAUGCAGCAUUGAUCACAUUGUUACAUUAGAAACUGAAAUACAAAAAUGUAUGAGGCACAAAGCUGUUUGUCCAGACAUUGAAAAGGUGUGUGAUGUGCAAUGGAAGGAAGGCAUAUAGUUCUGAAUAAGUACACUAAGAAGAAAGAGAAGAAACCUCAUUUAAUAUCAUGAUAAAUGAUCUCUCCAAAUGAGUAGGUUCCAGAGUAGGUGUCUGUCAUAAAUAGAUAGGUAAGGUAAGGGUUAAGUUUCUUUUACCUGGAAAGGGUAACCAAACACCUGAC